AUGCAAGUCGAACGCCUGUAGCAAUACAGGAGUGGCAGACGGGUGAGUAACGCGUGGGAACGUGCCCUUUGGUUCGGGAUAACCCAGGGAAACUUGGGCUAAUACCGGAUACGUCCCUAACGGGAGAAAGAUUUAUUGCCGAAGGAUCGGCCCGCGUCCGAUUAGCUAGUUGGUGGGGUAAUGGCUCACCAAGGCGACGAUCGGUAGCUGGUCUGAGAGGAUGAUCAGCCACACUGGGACUGAGACACGGCCCAGACUCCUACGGGAGGCAGCAGUGGGGAAUAUUGGACAAUGGGCGCAAGCCUGUUCCAGCCAUGCCGCGUGGGUGAUGAAGGCCCUAGGGUUGUAAAGCCCUUUCGGCGGGGAAGAUAAUGACGGUACCCGCAGAAGAAGCCCCGGCUAACUUCGUGCCAGCAGCCGCGGUAAUACGAAGGGGGCUAGCGUUGCUCGGAAUCACUGGGCGUAAAGCGCACGUAGGCGGGUCGUUAAGUCGGGGGUGAAAUCCUGGAGCUCAACUCCAGAACUGCCUUCGAUACUGGCGAUCUUGAGUCUGGGAGAGGUGAGUGGAACUCCGAGUGUAGAGGUGAAAUUCGUAGAUAUUCGGAAGAACACCAGUGGCGAAGGCGGCUCACUGGCC
rnacentral:rRNA from 1 species